UGGAAAAGUGGUAAUAAGGGG
rnacentral:miRNA from 1 species